UGGGGAAUAUUGCACAAUGGGCGCAAGCCUGAUGCAGCCAUGCCGCGUGUGUGAAGAAGGCCUUCGGGUUGUAAAGCACUUUCAGCGAGGAGGAAGGUGGUGAACUUAAUACGUUCAUCAAUUGACGUUACUCGCAGAAGAAGCACCGGCUAACUCCGUGCCAGCAGCCGCGGUAAUACGGAGGGUGCAAGCGUUAAUCGGAAUUACUGGGCGUAAAGCGCACGCAGGCGGUUUGUUAAGUCGAUGUGAAAUCCCCGGGCUCAACCUGGGAACUGCAUUUGAAACUGGCAAGCUAGAGUCUCGUAGAGGGGGGUAGAAUUCCAGGUGUAGCGGUGAAAUGCGUAGAGAUCUGGAGGAAUACCGGUGGCGAAGGCGGCCCCCUGGACGAAGACUGACGCUCAGGUGCGAAAGCGUGAGGAGCAAACAGGAUUAGAUACCCUGGUAGUCCACGCUGUAAAACGAUGUCGAUUUUGGAGGUUGUGCCCCUUGAGGCGUGGCUUCCGGAGCUAACGCGUUAAAUCGACCGCCUGGGGAGUACGGCC
rnacentral:rRNA from 1 species